UUGUCGAGCCGCGACUGGCGUCGGGUGGGGCACCAUCGGGGAGCGGCCUUCGGAGCACGAGCCGCACGCCUGGGUUCGCCGA
rnacentral:ncRNA from 2 species